GGGAGGGGGAGGGCAGCUAGGAGGAAGAGCGCCGCAGCCUAGGCGGCAGGAGUCGGAGCAAGGGGGGGACGGUUUCAAAAAAUAAUUAAAAAUCGAGGAAAUAUCCUAGAAAAGCCCUUUUGGCGUGAAAACCCCAAAGAGGAUCCAGGCUUCCCAAAACGGAGGUUUCGGGUGCCGGAAAGGUCCGUUUCUCGAUCCCUGGGGCUUUGGAUCCCGAGGGGAAACUUGGAGGGGUGAGAGCCGCGGCGGGAGUGUCCGGCUGCGGCCCACAAGGGCAGAAACUGGGGGACGUGGUGAGGAGCUGGGGGAACGAGAGGCCCCGGGAGCCGCCGGAGAGGCACGGGGACUCCGAUCUCCUCUUUAGGGGUGCCCCCAUAUCCCCCCUGCACACACCUCCUCCCCCCUUCCCACCCCACCCAAAUCUCCGCACCGAGGAAACUGGAAAACCAAACUGAGAUGCCAAGACAUCAGUGUAGACUCGACUCAAUCUCCAACCCCCGCUGUCUACAUCUCCAGCCCUGGGACAGUAAGACUUGACGCCCAAUGGUGACCUCAAGCCCAAAGAAGCACCUAACCCAGAUCACCAAGAAGGUUGCCUCUGUUUCUCUGUCCUGAGAUAGGAAAGUAGACUCCAGUUUUUGAGAGAUUUCUCUGUAACAAGAAUUGAAACAUAAAGGAUGUUUUUCAAAUUAAUAUUCAGCUCAUAAAUAUGGACUUUGGAAAAA